rnacentral:rRNA from 1 species
AGCGAACGCUGGCGGCAGGCCUAACACAUGCAAGUCGAACGAACUCUUCGGAGUUAGUGGCGGACGGGUGAGUAACACGUGGGAACGUGCCUUUAGGUUCGGAAUAACUCAGGGAAACUUGUGCUAAUACCGAAUGUGCCCUUCGGGGGAAAGAUUUAUCGCCUUUAGAGCGGCCCGCGUCUGAUUAGCUAGUUGGUGAGGUAAAGGCUCACCAAGGCGACGAUCAGUAGCUGGUCUGAGAGGAUGAUCAGCCACAUUGGGACUGAGACACGGCCCAAACUCCUACGGGAGGCAGCAGUGGGGAAUCUUGCGCAAUGGGCGAAAGCCUGACGCAGCCAGGCCGCGUGAAUGAUGAAGGUCUUAGGAUUGUAAAAUUCUUUCACCGGGGACGAUAAUGACGGUACCCGGAGAAGAAGCCCCGGCUAACUUCGU